GGGGAUGUAGCUCAAUGGUAGAGCCUCAGUCUUCCAAACUGAUUACGCGAGUUCGAUUCUCGUCAUCCCCUCCG
rnacentral:tRNA from 1 species